ACGGGUGAGUAACACGUGGGUAACCUGCCUGUAAGACUGGGAUAACUCCGGGAAACCGGGGCUAAUACCGGAUGGUUGUUUGAACCGCAUGGUUCAGACAUAAAAGGUGGCUUCGGCUACCACUUACAGAUGGACCCGCGGCGCAUUAGCUAGUUGGUGAGGUAACGGCUCACCAAGGCGACGAUGCGUAGCCGACCUGAGAGGGUGAUCGGCCACACUGGGACUGAGACACGGCCCAGACUCCUACGGGAGGCAGCAGUAGGGAAUCUUCCGCAAUGGACGAAAGUCUGACGGAGCAACGCCGCGUGAGUGAUGAAGGUUUUCGGAUCGUAAAGCUCUGUUGUUAGGGAAGAACAAGUGCCGUUCAAAUAGGGCGGCACCUUGACGGUACCUAACCAGAAAGCCACGGCUAACUACGUGCCAGCAGCCGCG
rnacentral:rRNA from 1 species